rnacentral:tRNA from 1 species
GGCGCAGUGGCGAAGUAGAAACGCGAUGGUCUGCAAAACCAUCAUGCAUGGGUGCGAUUCCCAUCUGCGCCU